UUGAUUUAUUUUGUUUAUGUCACUCAGAGGAGAAAACCACUAAAGACAGAGUUUGGGGUCUCCGGCGGGCGCCUGGGUCCGGGCCGCGAGGGCGCCGGGGCGGUCCCGCCGAAGCAACGAUAUGGUAAGUUCACAAAGGGUUGGGAGUUGAAAACUCGGUAAUGAUCCCUCCGCUGGUUCACCAACGGAGA
rnacentral:misc_RNA from 1 species